GUGCUAAGGUAGCAUAAUAAUUUGUCUCCUAAUUUGAGAAUAGAAUGAAUGAAUAAACAAUAAAAGUGCUGUCUCAUUAUAACCCCCAUAAAUUUAUAUAAGGGUGAAAAAGCCCUUAUAAAAUAAAAAGACAAAAAGACCCUAGAAGCUUAUAAAUAUUUCCUCUCAUAAAUAUUUUUUAGCUGGGAGGGCAUAAAGAAUAUAAAACACUUUAAAUAUAAAAGAGCUACAUCACUACAAUAUAACCCCCAUAAGAAUAUAAGUAAGCUACUCUAGGGGUAACAGGCUAAUGCUCCUUAAGAGUUCAUAUUGACAGGAGUGUUUGGCACCUCGAUGUUGGCUUAGGAAACUUAUUUUAUGCAGAAGUAAAAAUAAGUGGUUUGUUCAACCUUUAAUAUCCUACGUGAUCUGAG
rnacentral:rRNA from 1 species